rnacentral:misc_RNA from 1 species
UGACAUAUAGGUAUAGUGUACAUACAUAAAUAAAGGGUGCUAAGUGGAUUCCCCAUGGACACAAGGUAAACACUCAAUCUAGAAUAUCUUUUCUGGUAAGCAUUUUAGAAGUAUGUUUAGUUUCAUCUUAUGAAGUAUCUUAGUAUAACUGUGAAUGCAUAUUCAAUAUAAGCCUACAUUUUAGACCAGCCUUUUGAACAUUCUUCACCCAAAAUUUUCAAUUGGCAAUAAAUAUUCCUGCAAAUGCAAAUCUAAUAGUGCUCCAGAACACUUAGAAAUGGAGCUAUUCUGGAGUCAUUUCUCAACAGUAUAUACUUUUCAGUUCUAACAACAGAUUAGUUAAAUAUUCUGAGUUGCUAAGCUCAAUAACAUGUAGAAUCGGCAAACCUGGCUCAAAUCCUUUAGAGCUGAGGGCUUUUAUGAGAGUAGAAAAGACGAUAUAUUUUCUGUACCAUUUUGAUUUCAAAGAUUGUAUGUACGUUACAUCUGUAUGCUGGAAUCUUCAGGGGUGGGAAGUGGUCCAAGCAAUUUCGUUUGAACAUCUAGCAUUACGUGGUUGAUGAAGCCCUGCCUUAUAAACUCCACUCCUAUAAGGCACCGUCAACAUCAAUUACAUCAUUCUACUUCCCCGUAGCAGAACCCUUUGAAGCUCAUCAGCGAUACCUGGCAAUAGCACUGGUUUACGAAUAAGUCCAUUCAUUCCAAUCUGCAGGCAUCUUCCAGUAACAUUUUCAUCAGCAGUCGCAGUUAAACCAACUAUCAAUGGCCAGUUGUGGCUACCAAACUUCCGAAUUCUCAUGGUUACUUCGAAGCCAUCCAAAUCAGGCAGGUGAAGAUCCAAAAGGACGAUUUGGAAUGAGGAUACAGCAGGGCUAAGAACACCAAUACAGUCACGUCCAGAUGAAACUGCAGAAACACUGCAUCCCAAUUUUUCAAGUAGCUUACUUGUUACCGCUCUAUUCACGUCAUCAUAAUCUGCUAACAGAACUUUAACACCUUGGAGGAGUGAGUGUGGAUGCGAAUGAUCAGAAGAUUCCCCAUAUUCAGGAAUGCCUAUGGCAAUUGAUGGCCGCAGUUGAAGCCCAAGAACGACAGCCAUGCUUUGAUCAAAACCUUCUGGAUUUGGGAUUACCCAGAUGUCUCCUUGCAUCAACUGAACCAGCUUUCUGCACACAGUGAAACUCAAGCCUUCAUCCAUCUCCUUACUGCAGCGUUUUGGCCUGUAAUGUGGCAACAUGGUCCCCUCUGGCUGAGAAUGAUUAUUGCUUGUUCCAACUUCAAACCUGAUAUAGGCGUUAUCACGAGAUGAGUUUGACCUCCUUGUUCUCCAUGCUCCACCAAUGCCUUCCCUACUUACACUUUCUGGGAGAACCCUAAAUGUGAGAAGACCUCCAUUGGGGUCCUUCAAAAGAUUUCCAACCAUAUGAAGAAUAACUUGAAAAACUCUUCUUUCAUCACCGAGAACAUGAUUUGGCAAAGAUUUGUCAACCUCAAUGGAAAUAUUAUAACCCCUAUAAGCACACAAACACUUGGCAAGACAAGCAGCUUCUUUUAUCAUGGAAUGUAGCUGAAAAUAUCUCAUCUCCAAAGGGAAUCUACCGUUGUCCUUUGUUGAAGUAUCCAUCACAUCAUCUAUUAGGGUUGACACGACAUUACUGGUUUUAACCAUUGAAUCCACAAGAAGCCGCUGCUCAUUACCCAAUUUCUCAUCUUGCAACAAGGAGAGCAGACCCAAUAUUGAGUGCAUGGGUCUUCUCAGACCAUGGCUCAUAACCAUCUGAAAUGCAUUCCUUGCUUGACUCGCCCUAAGUGCAUCCUGCUUUGCUUGUUCCAGAGCUCGGUUUUGCUCUUCCAAUGUUUCUCUCAUAUGCUGAGACUCUUCAAGAAUUGCAGCAUGGGACAGAGCCACAGCAACCUGAUCAGCCACAACCCUGACUAUCUCAAUUUCCUGGCUGCACCAUGAUCUACCUUGUUCACUAGGUAGAACCAAAACCAGUAUGGCAUAACAUUCUGGGACAAGUUCAGGAGUUCCACCUUUGAAGUUCGACACUUUAAGCAUCGGCAUCCUAAUUGCAGCCACAGCUCCUGGUUCCCUACUCCCUCCACUACUCGCAACAGCAAGUGGGGAGUCGGCAUCAAGUAUCUUUACUCCGUCACUCUCCUUAACCUGUAUAACAUCUGGAUCACUUCUCGGGAUAGGUAAAUUAUACGCGCUAUUAAAGCUACUGUCUCUCAGCUCAUGAAUUAGGUUCAUCUCAGUUUUAUUCUCAUUGGGCUUCCAAACAGCACAGUUAUGCAAAUCCAGCGUCUUUGAUAGCUCCACCAGAGUUGUGUAGAGUAUUGUAUGACGGUCAAGUGACUUUCGAAUCUCCUGUGUAAGCAUCCGAACAUGCCAUCCAGCUUCUUUUUGCAUCUUUAUUAAUCCAACUUCUCUACCAAGAUCCCAAGUCUUCUUUUUCAGCAUAAAUUCCCUCACCUUGACUUUAAGCAGCAUAGGAAAGAGGGUAAUAAGGGUUAUAGCCGUGGCGAAGGAUACCAGUGCAGUGAGGACUUUAAAAAUGGUUAAAGCAAGCAUAAGCUGAAACGGGUGUUGGCCAUAGUAAGUCCAGAAAUUGAGCAAAUGAGUCAUCCCACACAGAACAAUGAAUGCAAUAAAUUGGAAGAGCACCCAUUUGAAUGGAAAGUUAGAACAACUGACAAAGUAAAGGAGCUCAAUUGGGAUGGAAAAAUACGCAAUCGCAAUAAAGAGAUCACUAAUCUUUUGGCACUCUAAGAUACUCUCAAUGCUCCAAAAUCCCUCAUCAUCACAGUUACAUCGCGGGAAACCAUUAUCAGCAGCCGAUAAGGAAACAAAGAAGGACAAAACCAACAAAGCUGAAGACGACUUGCUCAAUGUUGAGGACGUUAGCAUCAGCUUUGUUGGUU